UACGUAGGGCGCAAGCGUUAUCCGGAAUUAUUGGGCGUAAAGAGCUCGUAGGCGGUUUGUCGCGUCUGCCGUGAAAGUCCGGGGCUCAACUCCGGAUCUGCGGUGGGUACGGGCAGACUAGAGUGAUGUAGGGGAGACUGGAAUUCCUGGUGUAGCGGUGAAAUGCGCAGAUAUCAGGAGGAACACCGAUGGCGAAGGCAGGUCUCUGGGCAAUUCCUGACGCUGAGGCGCGAAAGCGUGGGGAGCAAACGGG
rnacentral:rRNA from 1 species